rnacentral:rRNA from 1 species
UACGUAGGUGACCAGCGUUGUCCGGAUUUACUGGGCGUAAAGAGCGCGCAGGCGGUCGUUCAAGUCGAGUGUGAAAGCCCCCGGCUCAACUGGGGAGGUCAUUCGAUACUGAUCGACUUGAAGGCAGGGAGAGGGAAGUGGAAUUCCCGGUGUAGUGGUGAAAUGCGUAGAUAUCGGGAGGAACACCGGUGGCGAAGGCGGCAUCCUGGACCAACACUGACACUGAGGAGCGAAAGCCAGGGGAGCAAACGGG